CCGGCAAAUGGGAGACAGAAUUUAUCUUAGUUUGCACUAUGGGCCUCAAUGGAAAUAAAAACAUAAGAUUGUUGUACGUGCUCCUCAUUGGCGACACAUGCUCCUCAUAAACACUUUUACAUUCUCAAACGUGGUGAAGAAAAUGUACCCUACAAAUGGAAAGACGUCAAUUUCCCAUAUAUGCAACGACUAUUAAUAAAUCACAGGGACAAUCGGUGAAGUAUGUGGGCAUUGAUUUACGUACUCCAGUAUUUAGCCAUGGUCAGCUAUAUGUCGCAUUGUCUAGGUGUAGUGCUGCAAGGAGAAUUACUUUAUUGUUGACCAAUGAAUCAAAGAAAGGCCGGGAUGGAGUCUUGGAAAGACAAAUAGUGGUGGUGAUUUUGUAGUCCAACAAAGGGAAGGUUUCCUCCGUCCGUUUCCAUAGGUAUAGACUUAUCCACCGUCCUUUGUGUUUCCAAAAACACAAAUCCUAGAAAAUUGAAAACCGCUCAGUCCAGAUUGAACGGACGCAAAGCAACCUCCUUUUGUUUCGCCCCAUUUUGCUUAGGUGUCUUUUAUACCAGUUGUUCUUAUAACUUCCCAAGAUAUGCCAAAACUGCAAAUCGUUACGCUAUUAGUCUAAACGGCAAAGAAAAUAAGGAUUACGUUAUCUUAAAACUCAAGUUUCAGUUUGUGAAUCCGAAUAAAUUUCAUUUUCAUACAUUAUCAUCGGAUAUCGUGAAUGUAAAAAAAUAUCGGAUCGUCAUCAAAAUCGAAGUUUAAGAGAGGCGAUUCAAUCAUUUUUUCGUUCAGAUUGUUUGUUUCUCAUAGUUUCGGUUAGGAUCUGUAAGUAGUUUCUAUCAUUUUAUCUGUUAUCAUUUUCUUUUCUUUUUUGAUAAUUAUGAGAUACUGGAUCGUUUUGUAUU